rnacentral:rRNA from 1 species
AUCCUCUGCGUGGACGCCGCUGGCCACACCGUCCUCUGUGAUGCUCACGGCCUCUCUGUCCAGCCGGUUCCCUGCCUCAACGAACCCAAGGUUGACAGCCCUGUUUCUUUCUCCAUCACCCGCACCAGCCCGGAAAAUCCCAAUCGCGCGGAAGCUCUUUACGUUCUCGACAGAUUUGUCACGAACCGCAACUCCUUCAACUUCGAGGUACUCAUGUAUGGCAAGAAGACUUGGGAGUGGGUUCGGCUUCCACCGCCGCCCUAUAUCAACAACCCGGCCUAUGACUCCACAUCCAUCCAGUCCUACACUCUCCUGGGUGAUGGCUCCACCAUCUGCAUCUCCUCCCCUCGGCAGAGUCUCGUCGGCACCUACUGCUUCGACACGAUUAGCUGUAAGUGGGAAAAGGCUGGCAGCUGGGCGCUGCCCUUGUAUGGCCGGGCUGAGCAUGUUCCUGAGCUUGGUAACCUCUGGUUUGGCAUGUCCACCGACAACCCCCACAACUUUUGUGCAUUGGACCUCUCCAACCUUGACCAGGCUCCCAAGUUGCUUCAGGACUGGCAAGACCUCGACCCUCCUGAGGAUUGGGUCCAGAUGAGGUGCAGCCUGCUGUACCUGGGCGCGGGCAGGUUUUGCAUAACCAAAUUCUUCAACAUCGGGGACUCAGACAUAGAGGACAACGCAACCGCGGCUGUGCUCACCGGAGUGGAGGUGUUGUGUGGAGUUUCUGGUGGGGAGGUGGUGCACAGAGGGUCAUCGGAACUCCAGAUGAUCAAGCACAAGUCAUUUAUCAGCUAUGAUGGCAUCCGGUGUGUCCUCUGA